ACAAAAGGUGUGAAAGCAGGAUAGCAGGCAAGGCUCGUUAUAAUAGUCAUGACAGACGCCGCAGAUGAGAGGAUUCCUUGGACCACCACCAGUUACUCCUGUUGUACCAUCAUUCUCACCGACGUCGAUACCGUCAACUGUUGUCCCCGCCGAGUUCGCCAUCGUCGGCCAAACCAACGGCGGCCACCUAAAAACGAGAAUCCAGAAUGUACUUCAUCGACAAUCACACAAAAAACAACGUACAACUAAUUAAAACGAUCGGAAAGAAUGUUUACCCUAAGACCGUUGGCCCGCCCGCCGCAGAAAACCCUGAUGGAUAGUUUAUCGGCUCGUCAUUCUGACGUAGUAUGAUGGGCGCAAACCCUCAGUUGCGCCUGACGAUCGAAUCUGACGUCACUGAAAUGCCACCAAUCUCACCCCUCCACUAAGGAUGCUAGUAUACGGAGAAAAGAGGACAGGCUGCUGCUGCUGCUGCUGCUGCACACGCUGCUGCGUGGUAAGGCUGCACCGAUCUGCACACAGGGUAGCUAUGACGUAAGUGUGCAGACGCAAUGAUGUAUGUACAUAAAUUCAUUUACAAUGCAUUUUUCACUUUUUCUUUAUAAUUUUUCAAAAAAUUUAAUAAUUUCUAUAAAAAUAUAUUUGAAAAUCUACUUAUAUUUGAAAAUUUAAAAAAAUUUAAAAAUGAUUAAAAUAUUAAAAUUUCUGUAAAUAUACCUAUUUGUUCUUAUUUAUUCGAUAUAAAUAUAGAAAUAAAUAUAUUAUAAAAAUUAAAAAUAUAAAGCAUUUUUAAUCAUUUUUUUUAUAAAUGUAAAAUAAUGAUAAUUGCAUUAUUCUGAAUAAUAAUUUAAUAAAUGAUAAAAUUUUCACUAUCA